GUUUAGCACGUUCUGUCAAUUCGUCGGAGACACGCUGGGAAACGAUCUAAAAUAGAGAAAAUAUUAAUAAAAUAAAAUGGAAUAGGCAAACAGUCAUUAUUUAAGUGCCGCAGGAAGUGACUUAUUUGAAUAUAAGUGCCUACAAAUUACAUAGGUUUAAGUUCGAUAGACUACCGUAGCGCAGAUGUUGGCAUGUUCACCUAUUAUGCUGAACGCAUGGAUUCGUGUUAUGGCAAGAACACAACAAAAAAUUGUUUACGAUGGGUUUAUAUAUCCAAGUGAUCUUGCUCCCCAAAGGUAGCUUGCAAAUGAUAGCUACCCCCACAUUCAGGUAUGCUACAACAACAUUUGUCACUCAUUCUGCCGGGAAAAUUUUUGA